CAAGGGCAUUGGGUUUCACUGGCUUAGCACUUUCCAGAAAGGGCUCCUCCUCAAUAUGCCUCUAAUCCAAGAGCGUUCGGAGGGGCCUGGUGCAGAGUGAGGAUAUCUCCCCAGCAUUUCCCUUAGGAAGGCUGGAAGCAGCUCAACUGCUGGAAGCCGGGGCUCCCUGCACGUGACUCUGAGGAUGGGGUGCAGACUCUCUCCCCUUGGGAUGCGCCUUCUUACCAGCUGGGUAUUUACAGAGACUCAGCUGCAGCCCCCCUGUACCCUGAAACCUGGAAUCACACUGCCCAGUUGUCUGGAGCUGUCCCCUGGAAAUGAUCCAGGUACAUCACUUCAGGUGUGACCCAAGAGACAAGAUCUUGCUAUGGAGCCCAUGCUGGCCUCAAACACAGUGAUCCUGCUAAUUUCAAAUAUGCAUUCAGUUGUGCCACCUGCUCCUACGCUGCUCUGCUGAAGGACAGUAGAAGCUGGUGCCCUACUCUUGUGCCUGUUAGCUGUCCUCUCUUCGUCCAUCCCUCCUCCCCACCUCUGGUCACCACCUUCUGCCCACUUUAUUUUAGCUUCUGCACGCAGGGGGAAAUAGCUGGCAUUGUCUCUCUGGGCCAUAAGACAAUAAACUAGACUUUUCCUCCGUUGCUGCAGAGGGUGGAUUUCCUACUUUUCCCGGGCUGAGUAGUCUUCCACUGCGUUCAUGUGCUGGAUUUUCUUUGUCUGCCCCUUUGGUGAGGGACACUGAGGCUGAGUUCCUGUCCUGAUUAUUGGUGCCACAGUGUGGCACACAUGGGCUUCAUUUCUUUGGAUAAACAGAUAACAUGGGAUCGCCCAUUGGAUGGCAGUUCUAUUUCUGUUUUUUUUUUUUGAAGAGCCCCCAUUGUGUGCUCCUUCUAGAGGUUUUCUCCCCAGUGGACAGGUCUGUG
rnacentral:lncRNA from 1 species